ensembl:snRNA
AGCUUCUCUGAAAGGAAAGGUUAACAUUCCCCUUGAUAACGAUGGAAGAGGUCCUAGUGGCAUUUACAAUACAUGUAAGGUUAAAGCAUUAUCACCUACUCUGUGGCAUCUAACUUAUUGUGACU